rnacentral:lncRNA from 1 species
ACCAUUCCCUUACUUUGAUCAACUGACAUCGAAAUGAACAAACAAUGAUAUGUAAGGAAAGAAAAUAACAGAAGUGAAGAGUGAAAGUAGAGGUAACACUUGUUUAAUUUUAAGUUAGACUUCCACGCCUAAUGUUGGGAAAAUAACCUUGAGCCGUUGUGCAGCCUUUUUAGUGAAACAGCGAAUCAAGUUGAUACGAAAGUAGAGGUAACUCUUGUUAAUUUUAAGUUAGACUUCCAUGCCUAAUGUUGGGAAAAUAACCUUGAGCUGUUGUGCAGCCCUUUUAGUGAAACAAUGAAUCAAGUUGAUACAAAUGCGUGAAAUUGGUGAAAACUAAAAUCAAAACUAAAGAUAAUAGAAUCAGAAAGGCACAAGAAUUGAAUAUGUUCGGCAACUAUAAGGUCUACAACCAAGGAGAGAUGGGUUGUUCUUUCACUAUGAGAAUAUUAAUAAAUUUCACACUUAGAUUUAUAGUCUCUAAUCAAUCACUAUGAGAAUAAUAAUAAAUUUCACACUUGGAUUUAUAGUCUCUAACCAACCCAACUUAAGUCCCUUGCACUCUUUCUAACUGAUGAAGAACCAGUGACCAAACCUCUUCCUUCCUACUCUCUCUAGUUCUAUUCCAAAAAAAAUGGGCACACCUUACUUUAUCGAAAAGGAAAAGAAGGCACACCUUGCCUCAAAUUGUCCACAGUUUUAUAGACACAAAUGUAUCUAUACCUCCUGGUAAAGGGAAACCAAGAUAAAGAAAAACUACUAUGUAAGACUAUUUAUACAUAAACGAAUCUCUUUCAACCAAGGGAAU